UACGAAGGGGGCUAGCGUUGCUCGGAAUCGCUGGGCGUAAAGGGUGCGUAGGCGGGUCUUUAAGUCAGGGGUGAAAUCCUGGAGCUCAACUCCAGAACUGCCUUUGAUACUGAGGAUCUUGAGUUCGGGAGAGGUGAGUGGAACUGCGAGUGUAGAGGUGAAAUUCGUAGAUAUUCGCAAGAACACCAGUGGCGAAGGCGGCUCACUGGCCCGAUACUGACGCUGAGGAGCGAAAGCGUGGGGAGCGAACAGG
rnacentral:rRNA from 1 species